UGGGGUGCUGGUUAGGUUCUAGUUCUUGAUCUGGGUCCUGGUUUGGAGUGUUCCUCAGUUUGUGAAAAUCAAAUAAGCUAUUUACUUUUCUGUACUUAUGUUACACUUCAGUAAAAAGUUCAAAAAUGUAUUAUUAAUAUAUUCAAGUCACCAAAAAAAUACAAGCUAUUUAUUUGAGACUUCUAAAUUAUACUGAAUACAUUUCUAUAUACCACCUGUCAGGAGAUCGAGACCAUCCUGCCUAACACGGUGAAACCCCGUCUCUACUAAAAAUACAAAAAAAAUUAGCUGGGCGAGGUGGCGGGUGGCCACUGCACUCCAGCCUGGGCGACAGCGAGACUCCGUCUC
rnacentral:lncRNA from 10 species